AUUGAACGCUGGCGGCAGGCCUAACACAUGCAAGUCGAACGAGCGUCGGAGGGGUGCGUAAUGUAUGGGGGCUGCCCGAUAAGGGGGGGUAACUAUUGGAACAGGUAGCGAAUAUCGCAUACUCUCACAUAAUUCACAUGGGAUUAGCUAGUAUGUGAGGUAAUGGUUCACCUAUGCGACGAUCUCUAGCAGGUCUGAGAGGAUGAGCAGCCACACUGGGACUUAGACACGGCCCAGACUCCUACGGAGGCAGCAGUGGUGAAUAUUGGACAAUGGGCGCAAGCCUGAUGCAGCCAUGCCGCGUGUAUGAAGAAGGCCCUAGGGUUGUAAAGUACUUUCAGUCGGGAGGCGUUACCGACAGAAGAAGCACCGGCUAACUCCGUGCCAGCAGCCGCGGUAAUAC
rnacentral:rRNA from 1 species